UACGUAGGGUGCGAGCGUUAAUCGGAAUUACUGGGCGUAAAGCGUGCGCAGGCGGUUUUGUAAGCCAGAUGUGAAAUCCCCGGGCUCAACCUGGGAAUGGCAUUUGGGACUGCAAGGCUGGAGUUUGGCAGAGGGGGGUGGAAUUCCGCGUGUAGCAGUGAAAUGCGUAGAGAUGCGGAGGAACACCGAUGGCGAAGGCAGCCCCCUGGGCCAAUACUGACGCUCAGGCACGAAAGCGUGGGGAGCAAACAGG
rnacentral:rRNA from 1 species